AGUGAACGCUGGCGGUAGGCCUAACACAUGCAGGUCGAACGGCAGCACAGUAAGAGCUUGCUCUUACGGGUGGCGAGUGGCGGACGGGUGAGGAAUACAUCGGAAUCUACUUUUUCGUGGGGGAUAACGUAGGGAAACUUACGCUAAUACCGCAUACGACCUACGGGUGAAAGCAGGGGAUCUUCGGACCUUGCGCGAUUGAAUGAGCCGAUGUCGGAUUAGCUAGUUGGCGGGGUAAAGGCCCACCAAGGCGACGAUCCGUAGCUGGUCUGAGAGGAUGAUCAGCCACACUGGAACUGAGACACGGUCCAGACUCCUACGGGAGGCAGCAGUGGGGAAUAUUGGACAAUGGGCGCAAGCCUGAUCCAGCCAUACCGCGUGGGUGAAGAAGGCCUUCGGGUUGUAAAGCCCUUUUGUUGGGAAAGAAAGGCAGCAGGUUAAUACCCCGCUGUUCUGACGGUACCCAAAGAAUAAGCACCGGCUAACUUCGUG
rnacentral:rRNA from 1 species